GGGGGUGACUGGCUUCGACAGGGAAAUCGGUCUAUGCAUGCGCGUCGCGAGAGCGAGCGACUCUCUAAACCCGCUCAAAAUUCCAAGUGCGAACAAAGUAGCACGGGCAAUCCUUUCACCUAUCCAGAUGAAGGACUUGCAGCCCGCUUACGCUCUCGUAGCCUAAGCGCCGUCCAUCAGCUCCAUGCUUGAUAUGGGUUGAAUGGGCGUAAAAAAAUUCAAGCACUGAUACGCGACGCCUCGCGCGUAUCUAAGACAUGAGGCUAGGGUGCGUAUGAUUCUGUUCAUCUCAUACCUACGCCCCUGAAAUGAGGCUUCGGCCUUACCAAGAUGUUCUACGCUUCGUAGACACAUGCACAGUAUCUUUCCUUGGACUCGGGUCCGAUACCCGACACCUCCACUC
rnacentral:tmRNA from 1 species